rnacentral:rRNA from 1 species
CGGAGGGUGCAAGCGUUAUCCGGAUUUACUGGGUUUAAAGGGUGUGUAGGCGGGCUAUUAAGUCAGUGGUGAAAUCUCCGGGCUCAACCUGGAAACUGCCAUUGAUACUAUUAGUCUUGAAUUUUGUUGAGGUAGGCGGAAUAAGUCAUGUAGUGGUGAAAUGCAUAGAUAUGACUUAGAACACCAAUUGCGAAGGCAGCUUGCUAAACAAAUAUUGACGCUGAGGCACGAAAGCGUGGGGAUCAAACAGGAUUAGAUACCCUGGUAGUCCACGCCCUAAACGGUGAUUACUCGACAUACGCGAUACACAGUGUGUGUCUGAGCGAAAGCAUUAAGUAAUCCACCUGGGAAGUACGACCGCAAGGUUG